AUUGAACGCUGGCGGCAGGCUUAACACAUGCAAGUCGAGCGGAGAUGAGGUGCUUGCACCUUAUCUUAGCGGCGGACGGGUGAGUAAUGCUUAGGAAUCUGCCUAUUAGUGGGGGACAACAUUCCGAAAGGAAUGCUAAUCCCGCAUACGACCUACGGGAGAAAGCAGGGGAUCAUCGGACCUUGCGCUAAUAGAUGAGCCUAAUUCGGAUUAGCUAGUUGGUGGGGUAAAGGCCUACCAAGGCGACGAUCUGUAGCGGGUCUGAGAGGAUGAUCCGCCACACUGGGACUGAGACACGGCCCAGAAUCCUACGGGAGGCAGCAGUGGGGAAUAUUGGACAAUGGGGGGAACCCUGAUCCAGCCAUGCCGCGUGUGUGAAGAAGGCCUUAUGGUUGUAAAGCACUUUAAGCGAGGAGGAGGCUACUGAGACUAAUACUCUUGGAUAGUGGACGUUACUCGCAGAAUAAGCACCGGCUAACUCUGUGCCAGCCGCCGCAGUAACAC
rnacentral:rRNA from 1 species